UUACGGCUAUAUCACGUUGAAACAACGGUUCACCUACGAUCACCAAAACUAAGCAACGUCGAGCCUGGUCAGUCCCUGGAUAGGUGACCGCUUAGGAAUACCAGGUGCUUCA